rnacentral:rRNA from 1 species
GAAUUGACGGGGAGCACCACAACGGGUGGAGCUUGCGGUUUAAUUGGAUUCAACGCCGGAAAUCUUACCGGGACCGACAGCAAUAUGAAGGCCAGGCUGAAGACUUUGCCGGAUUAGCUGAGAGGUGGUGCAUGGCCGUCGUCAGUUCGUACUGUGAAGCAUCCUGUUAAGUCAGGCAACGAGCGAGACCCACGCCAACAGUUGCCAGCUCGUCCUCCGGGAUGGUGGGGACACUGUUGGGACCGCCUCUGCUAAAGAGGAGGAAGGAAUGGGCAACGGUAGGUCAGCAUGCCCCGAAUUAUCUGGGCUACACGCGGGCUACAAUGGGUGGGACAAUGGGUAUCGACACCGAAAGGUGAAGGCAAUCUCCUAAACCCAUCCGUAGUUCGGAUUGUGGGCUGCAACUCGCCCACAUGAAGCUGGAAUCUGUAGUAAUCGUGUCUCAAAAUGGCACGGUGAAUAUGUCCCUGCUCCUU